rnacentral:rRNA from 1 species
UACGUAGGGUGCAAGCGUUGCUCGGUAUCACUGGGCUUAAAGGGUGCGUAGGUGGACUUUUAAGUCAGUGGUGAAAGCCUGUAGCUUAACUAUAGAAUUGCCAUUGAAACUGAAAGUCUUGAGUACAGUUGAGGUGAGCGGAAUGUAUCAUGUAGCGGUGAAAUGCUUAGAUAUGAUACAGAACACCGAUUGCGAAGGCAGCUCACUAAACUGCAACUGACACUGAGGCACGAAAGCGUGGGGAUCAAACAGG